rnacentral:lncRNA from 1 species
UCGCGAGAGGAAGGAGGAACACAUUGUUUCGAUGUUGUUCUGUUGCCGUUGUUCUGUUUGUUGUGAUAUUCGGCAUUAUUGCUGCAUUGCAUCAUGUCUUCAGCAGCAUCACCAUCAUACAGAACGAGAUUAGUAUUUUUAUGUUCUGCUGCAACAUGUGUUGGUUUGUCUGUCUGUGUAUCUGUGAACGUACUUUGUGCCCAGCGGCGGCGGUGGUAAUUGUGCUGAUUGAUUGGCGGUGGCUAUGUCGAAGAGAUGCGGUGGAGGGCACUACGGCCUUUUUCAUGUAGUAGCAUCAGCUUAACAAGCAUUGCCCGUGUGGAAAAAAAGAGGGGGGGAGAGAGAGAGCCAGUCGGAGUUUUGGGAGUUGUGUGUGUGGUGGCGUCCUCCCCUCCCCUGCAGCCCUCCCCUCCUCCCUAGAAUUGGGCGGCGGCAUCGGACGUGUGGAGGAGUUUCUGCGGGUGCGAGGAGAGAUGGAAGAGGAGGACAGGAGAAUAAAUGGGUGGUGUAGGAUGCUCUCCUGCGGAAUACAUCUCGCAUUUCGGCCCCCUCCCUCCCCCCCUCACUCCUUCCAGGCUCCGUUGUACAGUGUACAGCAUUGUGCAUGGCGGACGGGCGGGUACUGCUCAAAACCACACCGUCACGUCGCGCACAAAAGCGCACAUGCACACGCACAUGCACAUGCAAAAACAGACAAACAGCUCACUCACACAGGUUACUGUGUCUUUGCGGGAUGAGUGAGGCAGGUCGCAAAUUUGUUUUUCCCAGUCCGUUCCGAGGCUGGCAGGGGAAGGGUCAGGUCGCCGCCUCUGGUAUUUUCAUGUUGCUAUUUUGUGGCUCGGAGGGCCACUCCGGUUUGCAGCAUUUGACAAGGCAUUGAGAACCUUUUGACUCAUGCCCAGCCAUUUCCUUGGGCGCUUUGUGUGCGGGUUCAUUUCCGUUUAGGAGUACGGCUCUAUGGCGCGCACGUGACGCGGCACGGUGUGGCGGCGGCGAGAGUGCUGACACAGACAUGACAACAGGUGUGUGUGUGCGUAUAUAUAGAAAUGCACAAAGCGACAUGACGACUUCUGACCUCAUCAAGUCCGGAGAAAAACGAUUUUUUUAAUUAAUCAUCGUUGGCUCAUUGUAUGUAUGCAUGUAUGUAUGCAUGCAUGUAUGUAUGUAUGUAUGUAUGACUGUAUGUGUACAGAACGAGCAGGGUGAAGGACUCCCUCGCGUAUGGAGGAUCGACAGCACACGACUGUACAGAAAGAUUGAUCCAGCAGUCUCACUGGCAGGGAUUAGCUUCACCGAUGAUGCAAAAUGAUGACAUUUUUAAUCAUCUCUUAUGCGCUGUGUUUGUGCACUUGGCGCAUGAUGAUCAUGAUGAUGAUGAUGACAAUGCUGCUUAUUACCAUGUCCAAAUGAUAGACUUAGGAGUAGUGAUGGUGGUAAUGAUGAUGAUGAUGACGACACAUUUUGGCAUUUUGACUUGAACAUGACGCGGCGGCGUGGGGAAACCGAAUGGCGGGUAUCCACGCCCACAUUGUGUAUGUGUGUAUGCGUGUCAUCCACAUCGCAAUCGAUCGCUUUCAUUCAACCGUGAAUGCCAUUGUUUGUGGGUCUCUUCGUUAGGUGGGCUUGAGAAACGGAUGACUGCCCCCGGCUGAGGUGUGUUGUUGUUGGGGGGGGGAUAUGUUGGCCUUCUCCCCGUUGCGAGGUGGAAUAAUCUUGAGACUGCAUGACGCACAGCACCUCCCGACCACUGACGACCGAUGUCCCGGUUCAGUGUGCACCAGUAUGCGUCGGAGCUUCAAGGCUGCUACAUGUGUAGGGGUUUUAGGAGCUGCAAGGCUGCCAUGCGUUGUGAAGGUGCCUACGUAGUGUCACCAUCUAUGUGGAGGACAGCAUGAGGCGAGGCACAUAGCGCCAGGCACACAGCCGCCAACCACUCGGUCCAUUAUUUCGCCCAGUAGGGGCCAUGGGACUAUGGACACCUGCGAUGGCCUAAUGCGAAAGAGAACGCUAAGGGGAGGGGAGAUGUGUGUGCUUGUGUGUGGCGUUCCCUAGCGCACAUAUCAGCAGGAAGCCCUCCCACUGGAGUUGCUUGAACACGAGUUGGAUUAGUCGUUUUCGUUGUAAUUUAGAACCUGAAUCAUGUCUUCAUGGUGAAGUUGAGGACAUUUACCUUCUGUGUGACGAGACAUUUUCUGAAGGUUCUGGGUGGUGUUGAAAUGAUAACCCCUGUGAAAACAUCCGGGGUGCAGAAAGAUAGCACUGACACUGUAUUGUAUACAACAGCUGUAACACGGUUCACAAUCUGUGCGGGCUGAGGGCGAAAGGAGUCUGACAUGGCUGACAAGCUUGGUGCGGGCUUCAGCGCUCUUCAAUAGGCAACUACCACCGGAAAAUAGAUCCCUUGCAACGCCCCCGUGUGCACACCGCCAUACUGAAGUUUGAAGACUGAAGUGGAGAAAGGUUCCAUGUGAACAGCAAUUGGACAUGGGUUAGCCCCGCCGGCCGGACCGGGUACGACAGCCUUUGCGACCGGCCACUGGACCGGAACCGGACCCGCAGAAUUUGGACCGAAAAGGUGCUGCUCGACGCUCCCAAUCAUGUCCUAGUGAUAAAGUAUGACCAUAGCCAGCGUUUUGAGCGGUCAGGCCGACGCGCGCGACCGGUCUUCGCGAAUGUUUGGGUUGGAGACACACACACAUGUACGCGCACAUGAAAAAUGAAAUAAGAAAAGUAUUAUUUUCUGUUUCCUUUAAAUUGAAGUUGGAAGUGGAACACCCUCACAGUCCGUAACACCUAAGACCUCAAGUAACAGUGAAGUUCGAUGAAAUUUUGGUAAUGAUAACACCUAAGACCUGAAAGCAUGAUGAAAACGAUGGAGUUCUGCCUGCGGGGCAUGCCGGUCUGAUGCGGGUGGCUUCAGCGCCGACGCCGACAGGGCAUGGAAGUCUGUUGUGGGCAGCUGCAGCGCCGACGGUGUGGGCUACUCGCGAACGGGUCUAGCGUGCGAUAUAGGAUUCUAAGAGAUGAGGCAUACCUGAGCGCGAUUCCCCUUGCGCUGCCCAUCGAAAGGGAAAAGGGAUAGGGCGGCUCCUGCUGGAUUGCUUUCUGGCAGCUUCGUUAAGCAAGGUUUUCUUCUAUCCUUCGUCUCGGGGAAAUUGUGAAAUGGGAAGGUCCUGUUUCAUUAAUGAUAGUUUGGCCCCGUCAAGCUAGGCGAUAUGUAUAUGGGCUGGGCGACUGGAUGAACAAACUUUCCUAACAUCCAUGUUGAAAUUUGAAACAACAAAUGUUACAAUUUCACAAGUUGCAACAU